rnacentral:lncRNA from 1 species
CACCUACCUGAACUUCCAUUUUCUUCCCUGUAAGGUGCUUUCCCACAACGUGGCCUGCUUGAAAUCCUCUUCAAAUUACAGUCAUAAUAUGUGGGUGAUAUUCUGCUAUGCACCCCAUUAGAAAAAUUUUCUAGUCAGGGCAACUGGCCCCUGCUAAAAUUUUUGGCAGGUAGAGAAGGUAUAAAGUCUCCAGGUCUAAGGCACAACUUUGCAGUUCUGAAGUCAAAUAUUUGGACCUUAUCAUAUCCAAAGGAACUGGAAGACUAAGGGGAAAAAAAUUAAACCCAUACUCUCCUUCCCACUGCCCAAGACCCUAAAAAGAGCUAACAGGCCUUGGGUAGCACAAUAUGGCAAGAUAACAUGACCUCUUUAUCAACUAAAAGGAAACCCAGGGCUGGAGAUUUUAGCUCAGUGAUUCUGAUGCCUGCCUUGCAAGCGCAAGGUCCCGAGUUCGAUCCUCAGUACCAAAAAAAAAAAGGGCAACAGGAUAUGCUACAGUAACUCUGUGAGAGACACUUGGGAGCUGCUCACUCAGCCCUGGAACAAAUGCUCAGUUAGCAGAACUUACAGCCCUGACAGUGUAAAAAUAUGAAAAGAAAGGAACUCUUUAACAGCCUGUGGGUCUCCCCUAAAAUUCCAUAGAAGAGAAACUCCUGAUGUGUUUACUUGCCUUCAAAAGUGGCAGUAACACAUUGCAGAGGCACCAGAAGGGUAUGGAUGAGGUGGCACAGGGUACAUCCAGCUACAGAAAAUGCUGCUCCAGCCCCUAGGAUCUGGAAGUGUCCUUAUCCCAGACUCGGCCCAAGGACUCUCAACCAGAUGAGAAACACACGCCAAGCAUUGGGACUCAGUCCUUUCAAAAUGCUUUACAGGUGACCAUUUUAAACUAAUGAGUUUUUUAUUGAUUUAAAAAAGAAAACAUGAUUGGACUAAAGACAUCGGCUCACUUGGAAAAUUUCAACAAAUUCUGCAGCAAUGAAUGGAAGCUUAACCCAGAGAGCUCGCACAUCUGGUAUUGUACCUCGGAGACGUGGUGCUGGUAAAAUCUUCCUCAUCUGCUUCCUUAUGGCCAACUUGGGAAGGACUGUAUACACGGGUGACUCUCAAAUCACAACUGCCUUUGCUGUGGAGGUAGCUGGCUUGGAUUCCUGGGUACACCAUUACCAACUCAAGCCUUGGGAGCUGGGGACAUUUCUACCUGUGACCCACUGCCUGAAUAUUCUUGUGAGCUG